UACGAGGGGGGCAAGCGUUGUUCGGAAUUAUUGGGCGUAAAGGGCGCGUAGGCGGUGCGGUAAGUCACCUGUGAAACCUCUAGGCUUAACCUAGAGCCUGCAGGCGAAACUGCCGUGCUUGAGGGUGGGAGAGGUGCGUGGAAUUCCCGGUGUAGCGGUGAAAUGCGUAGAUAUCUGGAGGAACACCGGUGGCGAAGGCGGCAUCCUGGACCGGCAUUGACGCUGAGGCGCGAAAGCUAGGGGAGCAAACGGG
rnacentral:rRNA from 1 species